GUGAUUUUCUACUGAAUGCUGCUGUGUCUCUGUUACAGAUGCCAAACAAUGACUGACUGACUGAUGAAACCAGCCUUGACAUCUCAAGAAGUUGUGCGUGGUUGCCAGCAAAGAGUGAAUCAGCCAAAUGGUUACGCAAAGCCUGCAGUCUGAAUUAGGGAUACUUCAGAACACAGAAGAUAAAGAGCACAUUUACCUACCAUCAGCAGAAAUAAAAAGGUAAGUUUUGAAAGGUAGCUUUGAGAAGCUUCAUGUGAAUGUACUGUUCGUGUCACCUCCUGCUGAGUUCAUUUUCUUGUUUAAAUGCGUUAGGCUAGAUGGAUGUCUUUUCCGUAUUCGCACACAGUUUUAGACUGUGCCAAGCAGAAAAAUAAACCUUUUAAGACAUUACUGUUCCAUUCACGUAUAUGCCUACCAUGACACAGCAUCUUGUGUUUUUAGCACACAAACGCCGUCCAAAUAUUGGUGUUGCAUACCCGGGAUAUCCAUGAACAAUAAGAGAGCAUCAGAACAUGAAACUGAACUUUCUUGUUCUUAUGCUAAACUUUGUGAAAUAGCAUAAAAAUAUAUAAUAUUUACCUUUUUGUCACGUCAUUUUAUUCAGUUCUUCCUGUUUGCGCAAGGGCCUGUACUGAGAAGUACCAUGAAAGGACCGCUGUUACUGCAUUUACUUUUCCUAGGUGUGUUGUUGUCUGAUGCUUUGGCAUGGGAUGUGAGAAUGCCAAAAGUCAUUCGCGGCCUCAGCGGUUCCUGCUUGGUUAUACCAUGUUCUUACUACUACAGCUCAAACCCACCCAAAAACCCACAUAGAGUCGUGUGGUAUCAGUGGGUUUCUCUGGGCUAUCCUUUAGUUUACGAUCCAUUGCAUCCAAAAUAUGUCAUUGAGAAGUUCAGAGGGAAAACGGAUUUAUUCGGAAGCUCAAGUUGGGAUUGCAGUCUGCUGAUCAAAAAUCUGGAGCAGGUCCAUCAUGGAGAGUUAUUAUACGCAUGGAUUGAUCCUGAAAAUGUUAGCUGGCGCACCUACAAGUUUUAUGAUGUCACCUCCGCAAUUCUUGUUGACGCAAGUCCACAGCAGCCCAGCAUCAAGAUCUAUGGAGGUGUACGGACGGGUGACACCAUCACAGUAGUGUGUUCAACUUUACACACGUGUCCAUACAGCAAACCAAACAUCACUCUCAACAACAUUGAAGGAUCUGAUGAAACAGACAAUGAGCAUGUUGAAGACGGCCUGUGGAAAAUCACUCUGACGCGCACAUGUUUCACAAUUGCAGAAAACGCCACUAUUGAGUGUUCAGUAACAUAUUAUGGCGGCAUAACAGUUACAGCUAUGAAGAGAAUAAAUGCUCAGUCCCCAAGCAAUGAAGAAGCAGACGUGCCCAUUCCAGUUAAGACUGAUUGGCUUUACAUCCUAGUGCCCUCACUUGUGUGCAUUCUUGCUUGCAUACUUGCUGGUGUCAUACACAAGAUUCGACACAGACGGACCCCUGGUGAUAUGCAAGGAUCUGAACAGAAGGUUGAGGCAUCGCUAGUGAGGGAAAAAGUGACAUUGCAUAUUGGGGGCCCAUAGCUAUUGGAAGGUCCACAACGAUCCCUCAAGGGUGCCUUAAGCAGUUCAUACCGAAAAACUUUUCUACCGGCUGCAAUUUUGAGCAGGGAGGACUGUCUUCUCACACUCCAGACUGCUGAAUACUGUACAGAGCACCCGGAAAACCCAGCGACACCAAGGUCUGCGGUGAUGGAGAUCACUUGCACAAAGAAGUGUCAUGUUAGCAGAAUGAAUUUGCAGGCACUUGGUCUCAUUCACUAAAAACUCCAAACAAACAUCAUUUUGGCCUUAUUUGGCAUUUAUUCGAAAAUGAAGUUUUUUUUUUUAAAAAUUCAAAUUUUUCUGUAGAAGUAUAUCUGGGCCUUAACCGUGCAUAUGCAUGGAUUUGUGCAUAAAAUCUGUGCGUUAAUCAACUUUCGUACUAAAAUUUAUUCUAAAUUCAUGAAAAACCAUAGGAACACCUGAAACCACUGAUACAAAGAUCUCAUACUCAACACUACAAUUACAUUAUCAUUAUAACGAGGAUAAGAGCAAAUUGUGAAUUAAGUGGGAAGUUCUCCCGUGUGAAAAAAAUAUGAAUAAUCCACAUUAAUUAUUCCCUAUUAGUGAAGAAGACCCACUGUCUGUCAUGUCUUUGAUUAUCAGUUGUAACAUACACACCAAAUGUUAAAUUUUUUUAAUAAGUUACAUUUUCCAACUGAUCCUUAAAAAAAAAAAAAUCCAACAUAUUUUUUGCAUAUUUCAAUUUAUUGACAAAAUUGUAAAAAUGCAAUUUACAUAAAAUUUUCAUUUGCAUGUCUUUUAUUUUAUUGUAUUUGCUUGUCAUUUAAUUCAGUUACUCUUACUGGUUCAUCAACAAACCCUAUAAGUAUCACCAUCUUAAUUAAUCGUUUGAAACAGGAAAACCAGAUCUACAUAAUAAAUUUCAUAUGGUAACCUGUUGUAUCCCUUGUGUGUAACUUUCAUGUGACAACUAACCCUAAUCUCCAUUAUAUUCACACACACACACACACACACACACACACACACACAAGACUCAUAACCAAACACUGAUUGUUACCCUUCAUGAAAAAGUUUUAAGAACUCACAUUGAGAGCGGAGGACAGAUUUAUGUUUCCUGACAAUAUAUAUUUAGAACUAAUCAAAGGUUUUGUUUGGAGUCCCAUGGCAAAGAUGGUUUAUUAAAAUGACUCAACAUCCGGUUUUUCUGUUUAACAUGAUUUCCACCGCCACUUUGUAUAAAUGUUAAUAAAAGAUCACAGAAGAAACAAAAACAACAACAGUUGUGCUAGGAAACACCUGCAGGAUCAUUCAAGAGACAGAAACACACAGUCACGCUGGAAACCUUUUAAUUAGCGCUAAUUAUCUUAGCUGAGAAUGUAGAAGGGCGUGAGAGGAUUGGUGUUUGUGAGUGAGAGAGCGGCUGAGAUAAUGAGGCCCGGGAGAGAUGAUGCGCUUCCAGAGCGAACGCACCAGUCCUGAUAAAGCCUGUUAAACUAUUAGUUCCUAAA
ensembl:lncRNA